UAAUAGUCUUUUAUCUGCCUAGAACAAUAAUUUCCCACUUAUCCCUCUAAAGCAUUUUUGUUUAUGGUAGAUAAAAAAAUGUAUGCACCUCUUGCCAAGUUGUUAUCUUGACAUGAUAUAACCAAGAGAUAAAA